GACGAACGCUGGCGGCGUGCUUAACACAUGCAAGUCGAACGGAAAGGCCCUUCGGGGUGCUCGAGUGGCGAACGGGUGAGUAACACGUGGGUGAUCUGCCCUGCACUUUGUGAUAAGCCUGGGAAACUGGGUCUAAUACCGAAUAUGAUCAUCGGCUUCAUGGGCGGUGGUGGAAAGCUUUUGCGGUGUGGGAGGGGCCCGGGGCCUAUCAGCUUGUUGGUGGGGUAAUGGCCUACCAAGGCGAGGACGGGUAGCCGGCCUGAGAGGGUGACCGGCCACACGGGGACUGAGAUACGGCCCAGACUCCUACGGGAGGCAGCAGUGGGGAAUAUUGCACAAUGGGCGCAAGCCUGAUGCAGCGACGCCGCGUGAGGGAUGACGGCCUUCGGGUUGUAAACCUCUUUCAGCACAGACGAAGCGCAAGUGACGGUAUGUGCAGAAGAAGGACCGGCCAACUACGUGCCAGCAGCCGCCGUAA
rnacentral:rRNA from 1 species